AGCUAAUUAACCAGAAUUAGCCUUUAAAGCAGAAGAGAAGCCCCCUCAGUCUGUGUGGUUUCCCUCCCUGGUGCUCUGCGACUCCUCCUGACAUCCAGGCAGCUUCCAGCAGACGUGAGGAGGUGAAACGAGGUGAAACGAGCCUCUUCCAGCGACAGCGUCAGGACCUGGUACGACAUCUCUUCCUGACUCCUGCAGUAAGAAUAUUGGCAGUUUGUUGGAGGAUCGCGCUGCUGAGGGCGGCUCGGGUGAAGGAAGCGAGGGGUGAGAUCCUCCUCUUAAACAUUUUGUCUCCUCGCUGCUCCUUCAGGACAGAGAGACGAGCAGUGAGUCUUUCUGUGGAGGUGAGGAGAGUUGCCAGCGGCUCACUGCUCCGGACUAAUGAGCCAUCUGGGCCUGGCAAUGUACUUUGGCACCAGAGUCACACAUGUCCUCGCAGGGAUGACACUCGCCUGCAUGGCCUCAGACCCAAUGAAAUGCAUGCUGGGUGUAACAGGGUUAAUAAAGCAUGCCUACAUGUGAACUCUCUGCAGUGCAGGCUGAUAAUAAAUGAAGAGAACAGAGAUGUGCUGCAUAAAAACAGGAGCUGCCUGUAAAUACCUGCUGUGGAAGUUCAUCCUGACCUGAGGGCAGACGCACCAUCAUGUCGACGCCUUUAAUAAACCAAACAGCCAGUAAAUAA